UACGAAGGGGGCUAGCGUUGUUCGGAUUUACUGGGCGUAAAGCGCACGUAGGCGGCUUUGUAAGUUAGAGGUGAAAGCCCAGGGCUUAACCCUGGAAUUGCCUUUAAGACUGCAUCGCUAGAAUCGUGGAGAGGUGAGUGGAAUUCCGAGUGUAGAGGUGAAAUGCGUAGAUAUCGAGAGGAACACCAGUGGCGAAGCGAGUCCCUGGACGAACACCUGACACU
rnacentral:rRNA from 1 species